rnacentral:rRNA from 1 species
UACGGGGGGGGCAAGCGUUGUUCGGAAUUACUGGGCGUAAAGGGCUCGUAGGUGGCCAACUAAGUCAGACGUGAAAUCCCUCGGCUUAACCGGGGAACUGCAUCUGAUACUGGAUGGCUUGAGAUUGGGAGAGGGAUGCGGAAUUCCAGGUGUAGCGGUGAAAUGCGCAGAUAUCAGGAGGAACACCGGUGGCGAAGGCGGAUCUCUGGGCCUGAUCUGACGCUGAGGCGCGAAAGCUAGGGGAGCGAACAGG